AGAGACUUCGGUCUCUAGCGGCGGACGGGUGAGUAACACGUGGGUAACCUGCCUCAUAGUGGGGGAUAGCCUUCCGAAUGGAAGAUUAAUACCGCAUAUACUCUCGAUACCGCAUGGUAUUUAGAGGAAAGGAGCAAUCCGCUAUGAGAUGGACCCGCGGCGCAUUAGCUAGUUGGUGAGGUAACGGCUCACCAAGGCGACGAUGCGUAGCCGACCUGAGAGGGUGAUCGGCCACAUUGGAACUGAGACACGGUCCAGACUCCUACGGGAGGCAGCAGUGGGGAAUAUUGCACAAUGGGCGAAAGCCUGAUGCAGCAACGCCGCGUGAGUGAUGACGGCCUUCGGGUUGUAAAGCUCUGUCUUUUGGGACGAUAAUGACGGUACCAAAGGAGGAAGCCACGGCUAACUACGUGCCAGCAGCCGCGGUAAUACGUAGGUGGCAAGCGUUGUCCGGAUUUACUGGGCGUAAAGGAUGCGUAGGUGGAUAUUUAAGUGGGAUGUGAAAUACCCGAGCUCAACUUGGGUGCUGCAUUCCAAACUGGAUAUCUAGAGUGCAGGAGAGGUAAGUGGAAUUCCUAGUGUAGCGGUGAAAUGCGUAGAGAUUAGGAAGAACACCAGUGGCGAAGGCGACUUACUGGACUGUAACUGACACUGAGGCAUGAAAGCGUGGGGAGCAAACAGGAUUAGAUACCCUGGUAGUCCACGCCGUAAACGAUGGGUACUAGGUGUAGGAGGGUCCAAC
rnacentral:rRNA from 1 species